rnacentral:rRNA from 1 species
GAACUUAAGCAUAUCAAUAAGCGGAGGAAAAGAAACUAACAAGGAUUCCCUUAGUAGCGGCGAGCGAAGCGGGAUGAGCUCAAAUUUGAAAGCUGGCGUCCUACGGGCGUCCGCAUUGUAAUCUAUAGAGGCGUUUUCUGUGCUGGACCGUGUCCAAGUCCCUUGGAACAGGGUAUCAAAGAGGGUGACAAUCCCGUACUUGACACGACAACCAGUGCUCUGUGAUACGUCUUCUACGAGUCGAGUUGUUUGGGAAUGCAGCUCAAAAUGGGUGGUGAAUUCCAUCUAAAGCUAAAUAUUGGCGAGAGACCGAUAGCGAACAAGUACCGUGAGGGAAAGAUGAAAAGCACUUUGGAAAGAGAGUUAAACAGUAUGUGAAAUUGUUGAAAGGGAAACGAUGGAGGUCAGUCGUGUCUGUGGGAUUCAGCCGUCUCUGGCGGUGUACUUCCCACAGACGGGUCAACAUCAGUUUUGGUCGGCGGAUAAAGGCAGGAGGAAGGUGGCACCCCCGGGUGUGUUAUAGCCUCUUGUUGCAUACGCUGGCUGAGACUGAGGAAUGCAGCUCGCCUUUAUGGCCGGGGUUCGCCCACGUUCGAGCUUAGGAUGUUGACAUAAUGGCCUUCAACGACCCGUCUUGAAACACGGACCAAGGAGUCUAACAUAUCUGCGAGUGUUUGGGUGUCAAACCCAAGCGCGCAAUGAAAGUGAAUGCAGGAGGGAUCCGCAAGGAGCACCUUCGACCGAUCUGGAUCUUCUGUGAUGGAUUUGAGUAAGAGCAUAUAUGCUGGGACCCGAAA